GUGAGUCAUCGAAUCUUUGAACGCAAAUUGUGCUUCUGGGUAUUCCUAGAAGCGUGUUUGUUUGAGUGUCGACCAUAAAUUAUCAUACAAAAGCAAUUUUGUGUGUAGAUGAAAGUUCACCAUUUAAACUGUGAUCUUUUUAAAUUCAUGUGAAUAGGAUAGGAUUGCAACCUCAGUGCAAAAAUCUUCACAAAACUGCACUAAACACUUUUGUGUAUUAUUAUGGUUUUGUGUAUUUUUGUUACGGUUGUAUUAAUAAUCUUAACCAAUUAAUAUUCACUCUUAAUUAAAAAUUUAAUU
rnacentral:misc_RNA from 1 species